rnacentral:miRNA from 1 species
UUCCGAGACCACCUAUUCCAAC